GUGAGGAAUAUUGGACAAUGGAUGGAAAUCUGAUCCAGCCAUGCCGCGUGCAGGAAGACGGCCCUAUGGGUUGUAAACUGCUUUUGUAUGGGAGCAAUAAGGGCUACGAGUAGCCUGAUGAGAGUACCAUACGAAUAAGGACCGGCUAACUCCGUGCCAGCAGCCGCGGUAAUACGUAGGGGGCAAGCGUUAUCCGGAUUUACUGGGUGUAAAGGGAGCGUAGACGGAAUGGCAAGUCUGAAGUGAAAUCCUGCGGAUUAACUGCAGAAUUGCUUUGGAAACUGUCAAUCUGGAGUGUUGGAGAGGUAAGCGGAAUUCCUGGUGUAGCGGUGAAAUGCGUAGAUAUUGGGAGGAACACCAGUGGCGAAGGCGCCUUUCUGGACUGUGUCUGACGCUGAGAUGCGAAAGCCAGGGUAGCGAACGGGAUUAGAAACCCCGGUAGUC
rnacentral:rRNA from 1 species